rnacentral:rRNA from 1 species
CCUACGGGCGGCAGCAGUGAGGAAUAUUGGUCAAUGGGCGUAAGCCUGAACCAGCCAAGUCGCGUGAGGGAUGAAGGUUCUAUGGAUCGUAAACCUCGUUUAUAAGGGAAUAAAGUGCGGUACGUGUCCCUUUUUGUAUGUACCUUAUGAAUAAGGAUCGGCUAACUCCGUUCCAGCAGCCGCGGUGAUACGGAGGAUCCGAGCGUUAUCCGGAGUUAUUGGGUUUAAAGGGUGCGUAGGCGGCCUUUUAAGUCAGCGGUGAAAGUCUGUGGCUCAACCAUAGAAUGGCAGUUGAAACUGGGAGGCUUGAGUGUGUUUGAGGAAGGCGGAAUGCGAGGUGUAGCGGUGAAAUGCGUAGAGAUCACGCAGAACCCCGAUGGCGAAGGCAGCCUGCCAAGCCAUGACUGACGCUGAUGUACGAAAGCGUGGGGAUCAAACAGGAUUAGAUACCCGAGUAGUC